CAUUUCUACAUCCCCUGGUGGAGAGAGAACAUCAGCAGCAGCAACCGCAGGCUUUCAUUUAUUAGUAGACUAUAUAUUAAAAGUAUUUUUAGUGUUAAUUAUAUGGGAACUUUACCGCGUAGCUUCCACUGACUUCUGCACUCCCAGUUCAAUACUGACGACAGAAGAAGAGGUUACAGUGAGAUCCCUCUCAUCUGCCUUGAAAUUGAUAAAAAAAA